rnacentral:tRNA from 1 species
GCCCUCGUAGUACAGAGGCCAAGUAUGCCGCCCUCUCACGGCGGUGACCCGAGUUCGAAUCUCGGCGAGGGCG